GAUGAACGCUGGCGGCGUGCCUAAUACAUGCAAGUCGAGCGAACGGACGAGAAGCUUGCUUCUCUGAUGUUAGCGGCGGACGGGUGAGUAACACGUGGAUAACCUACCUAUAAGACUGGGAUAACUUCGGGAAACCGGAGCUAAUACCGGAUAAUAUUUUGAACCGCAUGGUUCAAAAGUGAAAGACGGUCUUGCUGUCACUUAUAGAUGGUUCCGCGCUGCAUUAGCUAGUUGGUAAGGUAACGGCUUACCAAGGCAACGAUGCAUAGCCGACCUGAGAGGGUGAUCGGCCACACUGGAGCUGAGACAGGGUCCAGACUCCUGCGGGAGGCAGCAGUAGGGAAUCGUCCGCAAUGGGCGAAAGCCUGACGGAGCAACGCCGCGUGAGUGAUGAAGGUCUUCGGAUCGUGAAACUCUGUUAUUAGGGAAAAACAUAUGUGUAAGUAACUGUGCACAUCUUGACGGUACCUAGUCAGAAAGCCACGGCUAACUACGUG
rnacentral:rRNA from 1 species